CCCUUAGAUGUUCUGGGCUGCACGCGCGCUACACUGAUACUUUCAGCGAGUCCACCACCUUGCCUGGGAGGGUGGGGUAACCUCUGGAAAGUUCAUCGUGCUGGGGAUAGAUUAUUGCAAUUAUUGAUCUUGAACGAGGAAUUCCUAGUAAGCGCGAGUCAUCAGCUCGCGUUGAUUACGUCCCUGCCCUUUGUACACACCGCCCGUCGCUACUACCGAUUGAGCAUUAGGGUGAAAUCUUCGGACCGUGGCAUACUUCUGGCCUAGCCAGUCUUUGUCCGUGGGAGGUCGCUUAAAUCCUGAUGCUUAGAGGAAGUAAAAGUCGUANCA
rnacentral:rRNA from 1 species